rnacentral:rRNA from 1 species
CCUACGGGUGGCAGCAGUGAGGAAUAUUGGUCAAUGGACGAGAGCCUGAACCAGCCAAGUAGCGUGAAGGAUGACUGCCCUACGGGUUGUAAACUUCUUUUAUAUGGGAAUAAAAUGAUGCACGUGUGCCAUUUUGUAUGUACUUUAUGAAUAAGGAUCGGCUAACUCCGUGCCAGCAGCCGCGGUAAUACGGAGGAUCCGAGCGUUAUCCUGAUUUUUUGGGUUUAAAGGGAGCGUAGAUGGGUUGUUAAGUCAGUUGUGAAAGUUUGCGGCUCAACCGUAAAAUUGCAAUUGAUACUGGCAGUCUUGAGUACAGUAGAGGUGGGCGGAAUUCGUGGUGUAGCGGUGAAAUGCUUAGAUAUCACGAAGAACUCCGAUUGCGAAGGCAGUUCACUGAACUGCCACUGACACUGAUGCUCGAAAGUGUGGGUAUCAAACAGGAUUAGAUACCCUUGUAGUC